GUCUUUUAAUAACAUGCAUGUAAGUUCUUGGCUGUCAGUUUUUCUGCUAUCUGCUCUUUCCUGCCAUGACAUUCCUUCCCUGGGGAGUUCGCUCUUGGUUGGAGUUUGGACUUUCACUCCCCCAGAGACCUGAGUUCAAAAGUCAGUACUCUACUGAGGGAGUGCUACAACGUUGGAGGUGCAGUCUUUCAGAUGAGAUGUUAAAGUGAGACUGUCUACUUUCUAAGAUUACAGAUUAGGGGAGCUGAUGGCCUACCGGUAUUAUCGCUAGACUGUUAAUCCAGAGACCCAGAUGACAUUCUGGGGACCAGGUUCAAAUCCUACUAUGGCAGAUGCUGGAAUUUGAAUUUAAUAAAUAUCUGGAAUUAAGAAUCUUA